GUGGGUACAUCAGCGGAUAGAGUUGCGGACGUUUGCGAUUAAAAAAAAGGUAUUGUUCUUCUUUUAACAAAUCAAUCUUAAGGAUGGAUCACAAAAGAUAUGUUCAAGAAUUUGAUCAGUCUUGGGAAGUUAAUUAUUUCUUCGGUUACAUUUCCGAUCGAACGGUUUGUUUACUUUGCGGUUUUGAACCUUCGAAGAACUAUGAAUACCGCCCAUACUUUCCUCUUCAAUUCUCACUACAUAGCCGAUUAGAUGAUUAGAAAAAGAAAGUAAUAAAUGUUGGUGCAAUCAGGUCCCUUAGGCUGGAGUUCCAUAGGCUGGGUCCCUUAGCCUGGAGUCCCAUAGAGCGGAUUACUAAUCACGGGAUCGCUCCGAUAGUGCCCUUUCAAAGAUCCAAAAGAAACGAUCUUGUGAUUGGCGAUCCGCUGAUUCCGCUUCCGCGUAAUCCGCUCCAUGGGACUUCAGCCUUAGUCAGGGACGCACGCAAGGUGAGGGUAUCUGUCAUAUUUGGAUAUUAAAUAUUUGUAAGUUACGAAAUUUUGCCCUUUUUACGAUACGAUUUUUACCAAAUAUGAAAGAACUCGAAUGUUGUCAACGUGAAAUAAGUAGAUGUAUGUAAUAAUGACACAUUAUAUUUAGAAUGUAAUUAUUGCUAGAAAUAAUGUGGAUGGUGUGCCUGCAAAACAGUUCUGGGAUAAUUAUUGUGGGAUAACAAUAAUAUAAAAUGUUUUUAAGCAUUGUUUCUUACUAUUUAUGAAACUUGAAGGAAGCCUGAAUUAUUAUGAUGCUAACUACACAGCAGAAGACAAUAAUAAAUAAAUGAUAAUCCGCAAACCAUGUUGCAUCGAAUGUCAAAAAGGAAUUCAUUACAAAGCAUGAGAAUCUUUUAAGCGAGAACUUAAUAUAUAGUCUCCGCUAAUAGAAUCUUAUGAUCUAUGAUGGAAUUGUCAACGCUUAUUAUUAUAUUUGCAAAAAUUCGUGAAGUAUUAACGAUUUCAUAUUGUUGAUAUGUUAAAAGAUUGAAAGACAAACUUGCUAUUUAGUUUGGGAAUGUCAAGAAAGGUAGUGUUUAAUAGCGAAUUCGAUUGGAUACACUAGUGCGCACUGAAUGCAAUAAAGGUUUAUCACACACAAGUUCACAAUGACACAAGUAAUUAAAAAAGGAAAAUAAUUAAUAGUAAUUAAAAGCUGUUAUUAUUGAUGUUCAAUAUGAAUAAUGACAAUACCCAUUAAACACUAAUAGCGAAUUCGAUUAGAUGCACUAAUGCAUAUAAAGGUUUAUCACACACAAGUUCACAAUGACAAAAGUAAUUAAAAAAAGAAAAUAAUUAAUAGUAAAAGCUAUUAUUAUUGCUGUUUAAUAUGAAUAAUGAUAAUAAUAGCUCUUAUACUAUUAAUUAUUUUACUUCUUUAAUUACUUAUGUCCUUGUAAAAUUGUGUGCAAUAAUCUUUAUGUGCACUCAGUGCGCACUAUAGUGCAUCCAACCGAAUUCGCUAUAAGUAACAGUAAUAUAACAUCAAUAUUAUAAUUUUUCACUCAACAAUGUAACGGUAAUAUAACAUGCCUUGUAAUGCAUCAGUUACAUUGUUAAGUAGGAAAUUAUAACAUCAAUGUUAUAUUAUUGUUACUUAGUGUUAAUUAGUGAGUAAUACCUCUUACUAUAUUAAUUAUUUUACUUUUUUCAAUUACUCAUGUCAUUGUAAAAUUGUGUGCAAUAACCUUUAUAUGCACUCAGUGCGCACUAGUGCAUACAACCGAAUUCGCUAUUACAUACUUAAAGGCACGAUAUUGUAUUAUGUAUGUAUAUUAUAUGUAUGUUAUGUAUAGGUAUGUAUUCUGCAUCAUAAGAUAAAAAUCUUAUAAUAUUUUGUUAUUAAUCAAUUAAUCAAAUGUACAUUAAUUUGGACUCUGUAUUUAAACAUAGAGUUUCUAGAAAUAAAUCUGUAUCAUUAAUUAUAAAUUAUAUUUGAAAUGAUUAUACAUACGGAUUGACAUGUAUAUAUACCGUCUCACAUAACAGUGUUAUUCUUUCUAAAGGGUACAUGUCAUAUCUAAUUGCAGCAUGUUUGUUAUCUAUUACAAAAGAAAACUCCUUUAACAUUUUGUUCUUAGUCGAUAUUUCAACUUUACAAUUUUAUUGAAGCGUAUAUAUAAGCACAUUAUUUUUCAUAAUCUUGUAUUAAUGUAAUUAUAUUUGUAAUAGUUAUACUUAAAGGUUUACAUGUACGUACAAUCUUAUAUAAUACAUAUAUAUAUAUAUAUAUAUAUAUAUAUAUAUACUAAUCUAGUACAAAUACCACAUACAAAUAUCAAUUUCUAUACAUCAAGUAUACAAUAUAUAUGCGACACUAUAUAAGUUAUAAGAAUAUAUUAAGAUAUACGGGCGCAUGAGUGAGUACAUAAAAAACUUCUUUUGCAUUGAAGAUUGAAAUUGUACAAUAUUUUAUCAAUUAGAACAAAAAAGCAAAUAUUU